UGCGCCAAAGGAGAGAUGGUCCCAACGUG
rnacentral:piRNA from 1 species